rnacentral:rRNA from 1 species
AACGAACGCUGGCGGCAUGCCUAACACAUGCAAGUCGACCGAGAUCUUCGGGUCUAGUGGCGCACGGGUGCGUAACGCGUAGGAAUCUGCCCUUUGGUUCGGAAUAACAGUUGGAAACGACUGCUAAUACCGGAUGAUGACGAAAGUCCAAAGACUUAUCGCCAGAGGAUGAGCCCGGGUAGGAUUAGCUAGGUGGUGGGGUAAAGGCGUACCAAGGCGACGAUCCUUAGCUGGUCUGAGAGGAUGAUCAGCCACACUGGGACUGAGACACGGCCCAGGCUCCUACGGGAGGCAGCAGUGGGGAAUAUUGGACAAUGGGCUAAAGCCUGAUCCAGCAAUGCCGCGUGAGUGAUGAAGGCCUUAGGGUUGUAAAGCUCUUUUACCCGGGAUGAUAAUGACAGUACCGGGAGAAUAAGCUCCGGCUAACUCCGUGCCAGCCGCCGCGGUAA